AUGCAUAACUCAUUGCUGGCAGGAAUGGGUCAGAAGUUAGAAGUUACAGGAAAAACGUUUCAGAGCAAAAGCCACACCCUGCCCAGAGAAAAACAAUUCCUGUCCACUGCUCAGCUCAGCAGCAAAACUGAAACUAGUGACUCGAAUUUCAAAUCACUACGAGGAAGGCUCCAUGGACAAAACACUCUCCAAAUGCUCACUCUUCUGCCAGUGAUGUUAAGGAGGAAAUGUGCCUUUAAAAAUCCUGCCCUCCCUGACCUCACAGGGACGGGGCACAGAGAGGGCCAGCUCACAGAUCCAUGCAGCCACGCAGCCACCGUGAUCAGGUGCACGGCCAGGAACACGCAUCUGCAAUUGGAUAGAUACAUCGGAAAAACUGCAACUGAGGACGAAGAGGUUAAAAAAAUCUUCCCUGGGCAAGAAGAAGAGAACAAAACCUUUGAGAUAAGCUUUCCUAACACAGCUGUGCAUAUCCAGCAUGAUCAACGGUUGUUCAAAAGUAACCAGGUCUUUCUGUCCCUCCCUCGUAUGUGAGUGAGCAUCUUUCCCGGGAAGUCAAGGUCCAGACAUGGAGAUUCAGCCUCGCAAGGCCAAAUGCAAGUUGAAGAUGAAAACAAACCAGAAAAGUCCAGAUGGUCAGGGAAAAGAAAAUUCAGUCUUCAAGGCCAAACACAGGCUGCUGGCGAGGCGCCAACCAGCACAGCCACUUGGUUCCCAUUCCCACCUAAAACCCCAGCACGUGCUCCCCCUCUCCCACCUAAAACUCUAGAUAAAAACCUCUACCUCUUUCCCUUCAAGGAGGUGGAUCUGAGUUCUAACUCCCAUCUCCUCAUCUGGCUGCCUUUUGAUAAUAGUAAACCUCUUUUCUUGCCACAAGCCUGGUGUUUCAGUUUUUUUCUUUAUUGGCCCUACUAUGUGGCUGGUAAAUGAACCUGUGUUUGUGUUCAGUUACAAAACCAAUAGGAAAAUUAUAGCUCUACAGUUUUUCGCUCUUUCAAUGCAACCAAAUCCUUACGUUAUCCUUUCCAGAAAGUCCUGAUAUGAGGGACACUGCCUUCCCUGAGGCCCACUCGUUUUCACAUCCUCGGGGCUGUCCCCCACAGUUGAAAGGAUUAGUUCACAGUGUCCCUAGAAACUCCAUCUGGUCAUUUUUCUGCCCCUCCUACUUGUGGCAGGUCAAACGUCCUGAAGGCCAAGAAGGGUUUUGACCUUUGAGCAAGACUCCUUCUCUGGGUGGGGUGGGGGUGGCAUCUGCACAGAGUCCAGUGGGAUAAACUCUAUUCCUUAUUCUUGGAGUUCAGUGUUUUGAUUUUCCUUUUUUUUUUUUUUUGAGGAAGAUUAGCCCUGAGCUAACAUCUGCCGCCAAUCCUCCUCUUUUUGCUGAGGAAGACUAGCCCUGAGCUAACAUCCAUGCCCAUCGUCUUCUACUUUAUAUGUGGUAUGCCUGCCACAGCAUGGCUUGAUGAGUGGUACAUAGGUCUGUACCUGGGAUCCAAACCAGUGAACCCCGGGCUGCCAAAGUGGAAUGUGUGAACUUAACUACUGUGCCACCGGGCCAGCCUCUCACUGUUUUGAUUUGAUUAUUACUGGCCUGACUUUCUAGCUAUUUUCCUGUCCCUUUCUCUAAUAAGAGGAACUCUGUAAGUUUGGAGAUGUUCCCAACCCAUCUAUGAUGCACCUGCUGUGUACUCUACCACCACCACCACCCUGGCAGCGGGGUGGCAGGCAGCCCGGGUGGGUUCCCCACACCUGGUCACCAGGCCCUGGAAGCUUCUCAGGCCCAGCUCUGUGCUGGCACCAGGCCAUUGCUCAGCAAACAAAGAACAGUCAGCACAUUGUUCUCAAUCGAGUUCACAGUGUAAAACCCCUCUGGGCCAGGCACACGCUCCCUCUGCUCUCCUCUCAGUGGGUACUUGGACUCUCUAAUUGACUGGUGCUGAUGCCUGGCUGGGGAGAGGGUGGGAGAAGAGAGGCAGGGUGCAAAGGUGAGCCUGUGGUGCAGAAGCACCUUCCACUUCCCCAGCCAGGUGGGUGGCACCUUUCAUGCAGCCAUCCUUCCAAAGGUCGUGGUUCCUCCCCACCAUCCAUAGACACAGUAAGUGAUACCAACCCUGAUAUCAGUUUCCCUACAUUAAACCCAGCAGAUAUGGGGUUAAAACCAAAACACUCAUUCCCUGCUUACUCCCUGGCUUCCUGGCUUCAGAAUCCACCAUCCUCCAUGGAGACGGACACUGACAAGGACAAGCACCUGGAUUCAUUAUCUCCUCCCCACAAAGAGAUACAGGCUGGUGGGAAAGCUGCUGUCCAGCAAGGCCAUAUGCUCCCCCUCCCCUACCUAAAACCCCAAAUAAAAACCCUUCCUUUUAGCUUUUCA
rnacentral:lncRNA from 1 species